rnacentral:rRNA from 1 species
CACGUAGGGUGCGAGCGUUUGUCCGGAAUUAUUGGGCGUAAAGAGCUCGUAGGCGGUGUGUCGCGUCGGCCGUGAAAACCUGCAGCUUAACUGUGGGCUUGCGGUCGAUACGGGCAUCACUGGAGUUCGGCAGGGGAGACUGGAAUUCCUGGUGUAGCGGUGAAAUGCGCAGAUAUCAGGAGGAACACCGGUGGCGAAGGC